CAAUUCCAAUAGCAAUGUAAACCAUGCUGUUCUGAGGAAGAGCUCUGAAAAGGCUGGGUGUUCACAGGUUUGUUUUUCACAGUUGAAAUGUUUCUGAAGACUUAUUUUUGGACGUGAGACACAUAUUCAAAAGUGCACUAAAGAGACAGGUUUGAUUUUUAAUUUAGAUUUUUCUGGAUCUGAAUUUCUGAAAUUUUAAUUCGAGCACCCCCCACCCUCUGUCUAGUUCCUGGGAGAACGAUACAUUUUGGUCGCCUGGGCAGGGGUGUGGUCAGAGGACCUCUUGCUCUUGGAGAGGAGAACACCUUCAAGAUUCAAGAUUCAAGGAGGAGGCGGACUAUGUUUCUAAUAAUCUUCCAUAUUCUCCUAACAUCGCCACUGUUCAAGUUCCCUGCAUUUUAGGGGCUAUUUCUUGGCUCCAAAAACUGUGAUUGUGAUAAGAAGUAUUGUGUUACAAAGAGUCUUCUAUGGACACAACAGAUUUUAUGGGCUAGAGGAGAUUCCAGUGAGUGCAAAGUUAUGGCAAAAUCUUUAUAUCCUGUGAGGUUACAUAAUUCUUUCCGUAACGUCCUGGCUGCAGACAUUUAUAUAACUUGUCCAGCUUCAGCAACUGUCUCAGAGUUCAUCUGGUAGGAACACAAUGGCUAUAACAGUACCCAUUAUAGCCACUAUUCUUCUCAAUUGUAAGGGCACAGUGAAAUCGAGGAGAUGAAGCUGUGCCUUGAUUGGCUGUUAAAUUGCGAUCAAUGAAAAGUAUUUGUGCCAUAAUUUUGCAACCACGCAAGACCAAGCCAUGCUGGUGGUAAGUCACUGUGUGCAUACCAUCAAAGCUAAAGUCACUGGGAUAACUAAACUAAAUUUUCUUUAAGGCAACUGGGUACAAUAGACAUUAUAUUUAAAAAAAAAAAUCUGGGCAUUUUUCUGCCUCCUGGUUAAAAAGAAAUAACAGAUGAACAAGGACAAACUCCAAAUACGAAUGGUGACUUGUCUCUAUCAUAUGUUAUGAAGAAAACCAAUGCUA
rnacentral:lncRNA from 12 species